rnacentral:tRNA from 1 species
GGGCCUGUGGUCUAGUGGUAUGACGUCGCCUUCACACGGCGGAGGUCGGGAGUUCGACUCUCCCCGGGCCCACCA